rnacentral:rRNA from 1 species
UACGUAGGGUGCAAAUGUUAUCCGGAUUUAUUGGGCGUGAAGAGCUCGUAGGUGGUUUUGAAAGUCAGAUAUGAAAUAUCCAGGCCCAACCUGGGGAACGUAUCUGAAACUUCAUUACUUGAGGUGUGCAGGGGAAGAUGGAACACACAGUGUAGCAGUGAAAUGCGUAGAUAUUGUGUGGAACGCCAAUGGUGAAGACAGUCUUCUGGGCACAUUCUGACACUGAGGAGCGAAAGCGUGGGGAGCGAACGGG